rnacentral:rRNA from 1 species
UUUAUAGAGAGUUUGAUCCUGGCUCAGGAUGAACGCUGGCGGCGUGGAUAAGGCAUGCAAGUCGAGAGGGUUUAGACCCUCGGCAAACGGGUUAGUAACGCGUGGGAACGUGCCCCAAAGUCAUGAAUAACUCGAAGAAAUUCGAGAUAAUACAUGAUAUGCUCUACGGAGUAAAGAUUUAUCGCUUUGGGAGCGGCCCGCGUCCUAUCAGCUUGUUGGUAAGGUAAUGGCUUACCAAGGCUACGACGGGUAGGGGGCGUGAGAGCGUGACCCCCAACAUUGGCACUGAGACACUGGCCAAACACCUACGGGUGGCUGCAGUCGAGAAUAUUCCACAAUGGACGAAAGUCUGAUGGAGCGACGCCGCGUGCGGGAUGAAGGUAUUCGUAUUGUAAACCGCUUUUCUGUGAGAAGAAUUUCGAUGACGGUAUCACAGGAAUAAGAGGUUACUAACUCUGUGCCAGCAGUAGCGGUAAUACAGAGACCUCAAGCGUUAUCCGGAUUUAUUGGGCGUAAAGAGUGAGCAGGCGGAUAUGUUAGUCGGACGUUAAAUUUUCGGGCUCAACUCGAAACUCGCGUUCGAAACGGCAUAUCUAGAGAGUGUGAGGGACCAAUAGAACUCAUGGUGUAGUAGUGAAAUGCGUUGAUAUCAUGAGGAAUACCUAAGGCGAAGGCAUUUGGUUGGCACAUUUCUGACGCUCAGUCACGAAAGCACGGGGAGCGAAUAGGAUUAGAUACCCUAGUAGUCCGUGCCGUAAACGAUGCAUACUAGGCAUUGGGGAAAUCGACCUCCUCAGUGUCGAAGCUAACGCGUUAAGUAUGCCGCCUGGGAAGUACGAGCGCAAGCUUAAAACUCAAAGGAAUAGACGGGGAUCCGCACAAGUGGUGGAGCGUGUGGUUUAAUUCGAUGGUAAGCGAGGCACCUCACCAGGGCUUGAAACUGAACUGCAAUAUCUGGAAACAGGUAUGCCUUCGAGGGUGUUCAGCAGGUGUUGCAUGGUUGUCGUCAGCUCGUGCCGUAAGGUGUUCCCUUAAGUGGGGUAACGAGCGCAACCCCUAUUGUAUGUUAUACAUGUCAUACAAGACUGCCCAGCCUAGAAAUCGUGAAACUUUACAUUUUUUGUAAUGGUUUUCGUGAUUUGUAGGCUGGGAGGAAGGAGGGGAUGACGUCAAAUCAGCAUGGCCCUUUGACGCCCUGGGCGACACACGCGCUACAAUGGCCGAUACAGAGGGUUGCCAAACCGCGAGGUGGAGCUAAUCUCAAAAAAUCGGUCUCAGUUCGGAUUGGAGUCUGCAACUCGACUCCAUGAAGCUGGAAUCACUAGUAAUCGGGAAUCAGCCACGUCCCGGUGAAUGCGUUCUCGGAUCUUGUACUCACCGCCCGUCACACCAAGAGAGCUGGCAACACCAGAAAGCCCCGUUUUAUACCGGGGAUUACGGUGGGGUCGGUGAUAAGGGUGAAGUCGUAACAAGGCAUCCGUAGCGGAAGCUGUGGAUGGAUCACCUCCUUU